rnacentral:rRNA from 1 species
UACGAAGGGGGCUAGCGUUGCUCGGAAUCACUGGGCGUAAAGCGCACGUAGGCGGCUUUUUAAGUCAGGGGUGAAAUCCUGGAGCUCAACUCCAGAACUGCCUUUGAUACUGAGAAGCUUGAGUCCGGGAGAGGUGAGUGGAACUGCGAGUGUAGAGGUGAAAUUCGUAGAUAUUCGCAAGAACACUAGUGGCGAAGGCGGCUCACUGGCCCGGUACUGACGCUGAGGUGCGAAAGCGUGGGGAGCAAACAGG